rnacentral:lncRNA from 13 species
AUGACUAACACCAGCACUGCUAGAAGGAUCGGUUGUUUCUUUGAAGAGGCUGUUCUGACCACUGAUUUAAAUAAACACAUUAUCUAUCUAUACAGUUCUGGCUCAGUAUACAGAGGAGGGAGGGACUUCAUAUCGUCUAAUUCAACACACAUUUAUCACUCUGGGAGAGUGAGAGAGACAUCCACAUGUUCAUGUAGAGUUUAUGAAUGGGUGUGUUUGGAUCAAAUUGGCUUUUGACAACCGUUCAGCACAGAGCUGAUUAGGGAUGGAGUCAGUCAGCUCUGCAACAAGUUACAACACACUUUGUGAAGGACAAUGGCAAACAAACAAGAAUGUUGAAAAUAGUGUUAAUCCAGCAAUAGUCAUGGACAUUUUACAUUCGUCAUUUAGCAUCUCUAAAUGAUAUUAUAUUAAAUCAAUGAUCCAUCUUUUAGCAGGUCUUUAUUCUGUGGUAUUUGUUGUGUUAAAGUUAAGAGGUAAAAACAAACAUAUAUUAAUCAUUAUUGUUCCCGGCUGUCUCGACAGUAUUCUAGCUAGUCAGGUAACUGAUGCAGUUAGUAUUACUUGAUCUGGCAGUAUGAAGUCUUCAUUCCAUUUGACUGUCCCAUCGCACGAGAGCUGCAUCAAUGUGGUGGGAUCCACUUCCAGUACUUUAGCUCUUCUUCUAAUAGCUGGUGCUCAUUUCAGUCAAGAUCAAGCUACAGUAGACCACUAACCAGAGGCUCUAUGUAUCAAACAUCUGAUCUAGAAUCUAGAAUCCCCUGUCCAUGUAAUGUUUUUUUUAAAUUGUGAUCUAAAAAGGCCAAACUGAUCCUAAAUCCGCACUCCUACUCUGAGAAACACCAGAACAUCAAAUCUCACUCCGAAAUGUAUAUUUCAUUGCAAAAACCAAUGAACCCCAUACUGAGUUUAGUGAGAGAGCACACCAUCUAGUGUAGAGUUUAAACACUGCAACAGUAUAUGACGUCUCCCGUUCCGGUCAUCGUAUGAGACAGCUCGUAAUACCGAGCCAUUUCUUUCCUUAGCUCUUCUUUUGUGAUAGCAAAGUGUGUUUCUGUACAGUUUAAAGUCAAAUGUAAUAGAUUUGAAUAAGUGUAAUAGUUGUCUUCGUAGACCGUCUCGGAAAUAAUACUCCACUAAAUGUUCAUUAAAAUAACACAAUCAAUCU